rnacentral:lncRNA from 1 species
UCCGAUCAUCUAAUUUCAUCUAAUCAAAAUCUAAUUAGGACCUAAACGAUCCAAAGUGUGACUAUCAGAUCAAAUCGGAUUCGAAGGGAUAGGAUCGAGGUUUCUUCAUCGAUUUCAUAAAAUCAAGUAGAGAGAGACAAUUAGAGGAGAGAGAAUUCAUGAGGUACAAUUCGAAUUGAUCAGGUGACACAAUCCAACAUUACG